rnacentral:rRNA from 1 species
AGUGAACGCUGGCGGUAUGCCUAACACAUGCAAGUCUAACGUCAGCACAUUAAUGCCUUGCUCUUACGGGUGGCGAGUGUCGGACGGGUGAGGAAUACAUCGGAAUCUACUUUUUCGUGGGGGAUAACGUAGGGAAACUUACGCGGAUACCGCAUACGACCUACGGUUGAAAGCAGUGGAUCUUCGUACCUUGCGCGAUCGAAUCAUCCUAUGUCGGAUUUGCUAGUGUGCGGGGUAAAGGCCCACCAAGGCGACGAUCCGUAUCUGGUAUGAGAGGAUGAUCAGCCCGACCGGAAAUGAGACACGGCCACGACGCCUAUGGGAGGCAGCAGUGGCGCAUACUGGACGCAGGGCGGAAGAAUAAUCCAGACAUACCGCGUGGGUGAAGCAGGACUUCGGGUUGUAAAGUCAUUUUGUUCGGAAAGAAAAGCAGCAGGUUCAUAGCCCGCUGUACUGACGGUACCCAAAGAAUAAGCAACGGCUAACUUCGUG